GAAGAACCUGUAGCGGAGCCUCGAGGUUGACGCUGGCGGUGUCACAAUGGACGGCGGGUAUGUUCUCAGGGCUGCGGACGGUGAUCAAGGUCAUACCUGGUUUCGCAGUGGAAGUUUGGAUCUCGACCCUUGCCGGUACCUUACAUGAAACAAGUACCAAGCAAAAAUGAGAAAGAUCGUCGCAACAUCAAUGGCUGCAUCACUUGAGGGGAACAAGCUGACCUGCUUCAAGCAAUCAAUCCUUCGCUCCGUCUGCACAUCUGCAGUAUUGGCAAGGAGACUCUGCUCGAGCUUGGAGGAAACAUUUCCCAAAUGGUCCACGACUGCUACAAUUGCU